UAUAUAUAUAUAUAUGUGUGUAUCUCUUCACAGGUCAAGGAUUUGAUCGUCAUCUUUUUUGUUUAAAAAAACUCUCAGAGCAGAAAGGUUUAUCCUUGCCUAUAUUUAGCCACCAUUCCUACAGUAAUUUGAACCAUAUUAUUCUUAGCACUUCUACACUUACAGAUCCUUCAAUUCAAUUUGGUGGUUUUGCUGCAGUAACACCAAAUGGUUUUGGAAUAGGCUAUGGUGUUGAGGACACAUUUCUAGGAUUCAAUGUGACAACAUUUCCUGCUUGCAGUGCUCAAGAUUUCAUUGAGUGUUGUGAGAGAAGUUUAGAUCAGAUUUUAGAGAUUAUCAAAGGAUAAUUGUUAUACUUGUUUUAUACAUGAUGACAUAUUUUGUUGGCUAAUGCUUAUUUCUGUUGAAAAUUGUGUGAUUUUUUCUCCUCAAAAUUCAAUGUUUCUUUAUUCACCCAUUUUUUUUUAUUUUUUGGAAAUAGCAAAAGAUCAUGUUUAUCAGUUAAUUUAUUGAGAAUUGAUGAAAAGUAUUUUUUAAAUUAUUUCUUUAAUGGUAAAUUAUGUUUGUAGUAUGAAUGAGUUAUUGUUAUGUAGUAUUUUUACAAGCAUUUUAAAGUUCAAGGUAAAUAAGACUUAAUUAAUCUAUUGGCAUUUGCUGAGUUGCAAAGGUAUAAUGCAAUGCCUGCAGUCCUAGUGCAGUUCUCAUAAUGAUCCUAACUCAAACUGUACAUCUGGUUUACCCAAUGACUUUGGAUAAGGUAAGAAAGAUUGCAAAUAUUUACUUACCUGCACAAUAAAUUGGUGGGUUUUUUUUUGUUAAACCACUUGAAAAAGUUUACAGUUAAAUUAUUUGAACUGAAGUUCUAAAAUGUAUUAUGUACUAAUUUGUACAAAUGAUCCUUCUUACCUAGUGCUAUUAGAGCAUGGAAUGGGUUGCCAGAGUCAGCCAGGAAAACCAGUGACUUGGCAGAAUUUAAGUCAUUGAUUAACAUGCAUGACUAAACGCCUAUGAUGUAAUCAUGUCCUUUUUUGAAGUAACGUCUGUAUUUUAUAAGAUAAGAUACUGCAAUGCUAUGUGUUGUAACAUGUUGUUUCCUUCUUGCUAUCUUUCAAUCUCAAUGUAAUUCUCACAUUACCAUGAUAAUAAUGCAUCAUUUAUUUUAAAACAGUUCUUGUUAUACAGUCUGCUUUAGUGAUUUUGGCUAUAUCCUAAUUGUAUUAUUUUAUUGUAUGCCUUUACUUAUAUAAUUAAAAUUCAUUGGGAAAAUGUGA
rnacentral:sRNA from 1 species